rnacentral:rRNA from 1 species
AGCGGCGGACGGGUGAGUAAUGCCUGGGAAAUUGCCCUGAUGUGGGGGAUAACCAUUGGAAACGAUGGCUAAUACCGCAUAAUGUCUACGGACCAAAGAGGGGGACCUUCGGGCCUCCGCUUCAGGAUAUGCCCAGGUGGGAUUAGCUAGUUGGUGAGGUAAUGGCUCACCAAGGCGACGAUCCCUAGCUGGUCUGAGAGGAUGAUCAGCCACACUGGAACUGAGACACGGUCCAGACUCCUACGGGAGGCAGCAGUGGGGAAUAUUGCACAAUGGGCGCAAGCCUGAUGCAGCCAUGCCGCGUGUAUGAAGAAGGCCUUCGGGUUGUAAAGUACUUUCAGUCGUGAGGAAGGCGUUGGAGUUAAUAGCUUCAUCGUUUGACGUUAGCGACAGAAGAAGCACCGGCUAACUCCGUGCCAGCAGCCGCGGUAAUACGGAGGGUGCGAGCGUUAAUCGGAAUUACUGGGCGUAAAGCGCAUGCAGGUGGUUUGUUAAGUCAGAUGUGAAAGCCCGGGGCUCAACCUCGGAACCGCAUUUGAAACUGGCAGGCUAGAGUACUGUAGAGGGGGGUAGAAUUUCAGGUGUAGCGGUGAAAUGCGUAGAGAUCUGAAGGAAUACCAGUGGCGAAGGCGGCCCCCUGGACAG